rnacentral:tRNA from 1 species
CCCGGCUUAGCUCAGUUGGUAGAGCGAUGGACUGUAGAGUGAAUACUGCAGAUCGCAGACAUCCAUAGGUCUCUGGUUCGAAUCCGGAAGCCGGGA